GUGAUGUCCACUAGCAGGCUGGCCGGCAGGCAGAUGGCUGUUACCAGCACGUCAGCCAAAGACAGGUUAACGAUGAAGUAGUUGGUGACUGUCCUCAUGUGGUGGUUCCGCCACACUGCCAGACAGACUGGGUCAUUGGGGAGAGGAAUGAAGCCAGCAGCAAAGCCACGCCCACUCCAGUUCACACCCAUCCAAGAAGUUCCCUCCCCCCAUAGGACACUCCACUCCCCAGGGGAAGCUCUCAGUGGCACAGCUCAAGAAGCAGACCUACCCAGGGUGUUGCCCACCAGCGCUAUGAGGAACACGGCCACGUAGGCUGCGAUGAGGACCCACUCAUACUGCUUCGGGUACAGUCCAGCCGCACCUACCUUCAGGGGGCGCGAUGAGGAACAACACUCUCUAACCCAGGCUGAGAGCUGGCACAGGAGGCCAGCCUUACAGACGCAACCAGUGUCAAGGGAAGCUGAGGACGUGGCUCUGGGUAGAGGACUUGGGUUCCAGCCUCGGCAUCGUAGCAGGAAGAAAUGAUGACCCUGACUCCUCCUGACCUCCCCAGGUCAUGGCCACUGGAGUGAUGUGCACCCAUCGCCUCUCCUCUCAAAGGUACCUGUGGGCCCGAUCUUCAGGUCUGGGCCAUCCUCACACAGAGGUGGAAGCUGAGGUGGAAGCUGCAGUUGCUCCCUGAUGCAGCCCUGAAUGGCUCAGGCUUGGCGUCGGACAAGAGGAAGAUGGACGGAUGGUGCCCAGGCGGUAACGGAUGCCCUCAUCCAGCGUCAUACCCCAGAAGGCGCUGUGGUUCCCAGCCUGCCACCUGAAGAAGAAGGGGCGGGGCAGUCACAGACCUGCCAGAAGUCCCAGGGUUACGUGUGUGAGUGGGAGACACACACACAAAAUCUGAGCGGGUUGCCCAGCAUGACGUGCAUCUCCAGCAGAGCGCAUGUGUGUGCUGGCGAGAAAAGGAGGGAAUGAAAGCCUAAGUGGGGACCUGGGAACUCUCAGAAGAGACAAAAUGGGCGUAGGAUUCUGUACCAGCAACCAAAGGGGCAGCACCGUGAUAAUUCCCUCAGCCUGGUGGCUUUCAGUGUCAACUUCAAGCUUGUGACUUCCUCCUCCCCUCCUCUGCUUAGAUCUCUUCCUGAACGAAGUCACGGAUCGUGCUGCCACUUAGCAUCACUAGGGAGUAUCUAACACCAGAUCAGACAUAACGUACCCCAAACCCUAUUCCGAAUCUCCCUCACUGCCGGCAACUGCAUCCUUCCUGGGGCUCGGACCAGAAACUGGGCGUGGCCCUUGACUUUCUGUCCCAUGCAGAUCCUUGUGGAUGCACCUUAGAAACAUAUCCAGAAUCCAAACUGUGUGUCAUUCUCUCCUGCUGCCACCACGGCCCAGUCACCUCUCACCUGGAGCUCUGCUCAGUCUCCUCGUUGCUCGGGGGCAUCUGCUCCGUGUUACCCUAUGUCCCCCUGGUAUAUUUAUAACAGGGCUACCAGCGUGAUCCAGCUAAACUUAAGUCAUAUCAUGCCAUUCCUUUGCCUGAAACUCUCCAUUGGUUUUACGUCACAGAAUAAGAGCCAAAGUCCUGAGGUGAUGACAAGCCCUUCAGGAUCUGUCCUCCUGUGCCCUCUGGAGUGACCCCGUCCUCUUCCUCCUCUUUCUGUUCUUUCUCCUCUUCCUCCUAGUCCUAGAUAUUUUUUGCAGUGCAGUGCAGAUUGAGCCCAAGCUCUUCACACUGAGCUACACCCCUAGACUUUUUUUUUUUUGAGACAGAAUCUCACUAAGAUGCCCAGAUUGUGCUUUAACUUUUAAUUCUCCUGCCUCAGCCUCCCAGCAUGCCAGGCUUACAGACGUGAACCACGCUUGGCUGUAGCCCUGGAUUUUAAGGCUGCGGAGACCAGCUGUACCCCUGGCCCAGGGCCUUUGAGCUGCUCUACGCCCCACACCCGUGGUUCAUUUUCAUUUCUGCCAAGUGUUCAUUCAAAUGUCACCCUUUCCAGGGAGCCUCCUUCGGCGUUCCUCAUGUGUUCUGUCUCAUUUUCCUGGCCUAGUGGUUUCCUUACUGUGUCACCUCUUACUUAUAUUGUGUAUGCCAGUUUCCUCAUAAACUCUACAUCUUUGAAGGCA